GCUUUUGGCCAUACCACCUUGAACGCGUCUGAUCUUGUCAGAUCUCAGAAGCUAGGCAGGGUUGGGACUGAGUAGUACUUGGGUGAGAGACCAACACAUUGCUCUAUAAAUU
rnacentral:rRNA from 1 species